GGGUUGUGAGGUUAAGCGACUAAGCGUACACGGUGGAUGCCCUGGCAGUCAGAGGCGAUGAAGGACGUGCUAAUCUGCGAUAAGCGUCGGUAAGGUGAUAUGAACCGUUAUAACCGGCGAUUUCCGAAUGGGGAAACCCAGUGUGAUUCGUCACACUAUCGUUAACUGAAUACAUAGGUUAACGAAGCGAACCGGGGGAACUGAAACAUCUAAGUACCCCGAGGAAAAGAAAUCAACCGAGAUUCCCCCAGUAGCGGCGAGCGAACGGGGAGGAGCCCAGAGCCUGAAUCAGCAUGUGUGUUAGUGGAAGCGUCUGGAAAGGCGCGCGAUACAGGGUGACAGCCCCGUACACAAAAGCGCAUGUGCUGUGAGCUCGAUGAGUAGGGCGGGACACGUGGUAUCCUGUCUGAAUAUGGGGGGACCAUCCUCCAAGGCUAAAUACUCCUGACUGACCGAUAGUGAACCAGUACCGUGAGGGAAAGGCGAAAAGAACCCCGGCGAGGGGAGUGAAAAAGAACCUGAAACCGUGUACGUACAAGCAGUGGGAGCCCCACCACCAAAGCAUUCUCUGGUGUUGAAGGCCCUGCAAAGCAGCAUCGCGGUGGCGGAGCGUCGUUUGCGACGCCCAACACACAAAACAAGCGGUGAGUGCUUUGGGGUGGGGUGACUGCGUACCUUUUGUAUAAUGGGUCAGCGACUUAUAUUCUGUAGCAAGGUUAACCGUAUAGGGGAGCCGAAGGGAAACCGAGUCUUAACUGGGCGUUAAGUUGCAGGGUAUAGACCCGAAACCCGGUGAUCUAGCCAUGGGCAGGUUGAAGGUUGGGUAACACUAACUGGAGGACCGAACCGACUAAUGUUGAAAAAUUAGCGGAUGACUUGUGGCUGGGGGUGAAAGGCCAAUCAAACCGGGAGAUAGCUGGUUCUCCCCGAAAGCUAUUUAGGUAGCGCCUCGUGAACUCAUCUUCGGGGGUAGAGCACUGUUUCGGCUAGGGGGUCAUCCCGACUUACCAACCCGAUGCAAACUGCGAAUACCGAAGAAUGUUAUCACGGGAGACACACGGCGGGUGCUAACGUCCGUCGUGAAGAGGGAAACAACCCAGACCGCCAGCUAAGGUCCCAAAGUCACAGUUAAGUGGGAAACGAUGUGGGAAGGCUCAGACAGCCAGGAUGUUGGCUUAGAAGCAGCCAUCAUUUAAAGAAAGCGUAAUAGCUCACUGGUCGAGUCGGCCUGCGCGGAAGAUGUAACGGGGCUAAACUGUGCACCGAAGCUGCGGCAGCGACGCUUAUGCGUUGUUGGGUAGGGGAGCGUUCUGUAAGCCUGCGAAGGUGUCCUGUGAGGGAUGCUGGAGGUAUCAGAAGUGCGAAUGCUGACAUAAGUAACGAUAA
rnacentral:rRNA from 2 species